GACGAACGCUGGCGGCGUGCCUAAUACAUGCAAGUCGAACGAGAGCGACCGGUGCUUGCCCUGGUCAAUCUAGUGGCGAACGGGUGAGUAACACGUGGGUAACCUGCCCAUCAGAGGGGGAUAACAUUCGGAAACGGAUGCUAAAACCGCAUAGGUCUUCGAACCGCAUGGUUUGAAGAGGAAAAGAGGCGCAAGCUUCUGCUGAUGGAUGGACCCGCGGUGCAUUAGCUAGUUGGUGAGGUAACGGCUCACCAAGGCCGUGAGGCAUAGCCGACCUGAGAGGGUGAUCGGCCACAUUGGGACUGAGACACGGCCCAAACUCCUACGGGAGGCAGCAGUAGGGAAUCUUCCGCAAUGGACGCAAGUCUGACGGAGCAACGCCGCGUGAGUGAAGAAGGUGUUCGGAUCGUAAAACUCUGUUGUUAGAGAAGAACAAGUGCUAGAGUAACUGUUAGCGCCUUGACGGUAUCUAACCAGAAAGCCACGGCUAACUACGUG
rnacentral:rRNA from 1 species